rnacentral:rRNA from 1 species
GAUGAACGCUGGCGGCGUGCCUAAUACAUGCAAGUCGAGCGAACAGACGAGGAGCUUGCUCCUCUGACGUUAGCGGCGGACGGGUGAGUAACACGUGGAUAACCUACCUAUAAGACUGGGAUAACUUCGGGAAACCGGAGCUAAUACCGGAUAAUAUAUUGAACCGCAUGGUUCAAUAGUGAAAGACGGUUUUGCUGUCACUUAUAGAUGGAUCCGCGCCGCAUUAGCUAGUUGGUAAGGUAGCGGCUUACCAAGGCAACGAAGCGUAGCCGGCCUGAGAGGGUGACCGGCGAGAUUGGGACUGAGGUACGGCCAAGACCGCGACGGGAGGCAGCAGUGGGGAAUAUUGCACAAUGGGCGGAAGCCUGAUGCAGCAACGCAGCGUGCGGGAUGACGGCCUUCGGGUUGUAAACCGCUUUCGCCUGUGACGAAGCGUGAGUGACGGUAAUGGGUAAAGAAGCACCGGCUAACUACGUG